CCUGACCUAAGUGCAGCACCCUGAGAAUAAGAAUCAGAUAUCAAUAAAUGUAAUAGUUUAGUGAGAAUCUAACUAACAGUGAAAAGUGAAAUACAAGCAAAAAGCAAACCAAAGCUACCAAAUUAAGAAUGCCUUCAUCAGCAAAAAACACUGUACCACUGCUUACAUGAAGCCUGGUUUUUGAACUUAGCCAUUUUUAUUAUUAAUAUUUUUUAGAAUUUUGAAAAAUUUUUAAAACGCAGGCUGGAAAAUUUCUAAUUAAGUCACUUAAAUCUACUCAUAAACUCCAAUAAGAAAUUAAACCAGUAUAAAUCAGGACUCAGUGUAAGAAAGAUAACAAAUUUUUAUGUAUAUUUUCUCUAUAAGCUGUUUGACCCAAAAUUAGGAGGAUUUGAGUGUCAAUUGGAACGUAAUUUUAUGUCCUAUAUAAAGUUUAAAAAAUUUGGAAGCUACUACUUAGUGAGGAAAAUAUGGGGGACAAAGAGAUUCUCAGCCGCCAAAGUGUAAGGGGAGAAUAGAUAAUCUGGGAAAGUAGCAAGUGACUACUCCUCCGGGCUUUGGAGGCAAGCCAACACAAUUACUCUCACCCUGUUCUCUGAGGUGGCAGCUGCAGCAAGAUCAGGAUGCGGAAAACAACCAUGAAAUCAAAGGGUUACAGACUUUGGAGCCAACUCUUCAUUCAUCUGUCGAUCAAGCAGAGCUCCAAACUUGGAUGACAGACCCUUGCCACUCAAUCUCUGUGUUGAAUGCUUAUGAACCACCUAAAGCAACGAAAGCCCUCAUGAAGGUCUAAUGUUAGCCUCACUAUCCCUCCUGUCUUUUUUUGCUGAUGGUAGUAGUAGCAUGAAUAUUUACCAGAGCCAAGAGUAUGCUGUCUUGCAAAUUCUGUUCUCCUAAUAUGUCUGGUUGGACAGUGUUAUUGUAUAAAGUCUACUGACAUUCUGCCAAAUGCCAAUUUAGAUUUUUUUUAAAUGGUUUGUGUUCUGAAAUUUACACACAUGGAGGAAAAACAGUUAUCCAUUUAAAUGCCUCACUUCUCAGUUGGAAAAGAAUUGGCAGCUCUUUUGUUUCUGUGAUGAAUGUAGUUAAGGAGAAGAUAGUUACCUGUGAGAGACAAGUAGUGAGAAGAAAUGACACCCAGGUCCUUUGUCUGGGAUCUGCAUCUUUAUUUGAGAAGAAUAAUUUCAUUAUUUCCAGGCAGUGAUAUCUUCAGAGUAGCUACUGAAGCAUUUAGUAAGAGACAGGAUAAAUAAAUGUACAAAGGGAGAGAGGAGCACAGAAAGGUGAAGUAAUUUAUCCAAGUUAUGCUAAUCAUGUUGGGCAGGGAAAAGAUUCCAGACUUUCUGUGUCCUGAGUCUAUAUUCCAGUUGCUAAGCAACUGUCCUGAAUAUAAGGGUGUCCAAAACACUGUAUAUCAGAUACUAUAGCAUUGGCACACUGACACCUCUGUUUUGAUUCAUGCCAUAACUGAUGUCUAAUAAAGAAAAUAA
ensembl:lncRNA